UCCAGACUCCUACGGGAGGCAGCAGUGGGGAAUAUUGCACAAUGGGGGAAACCCUGAUGCAGCGACGCCGCGUGAGUGAAGAAGUAUUUCGGUAUGUAAAGCUCUAUCAGCAGGGAAGAAAAUGACGGUACCUGACUAAGAAGCCCCGGCUAACUACGUGCCAGCAGCCGCGGUAAUACGUAGGGGGCAAGCGUUAUCCGGAUUUACUGGGUGUAAAGGGUGCGCAGGUGGCAGGGCAAGUCAGAUGUGAAAGCCCGGGGCUCAACCCCGGUAUUGCAUUUGAAACUGUCCGGCUAGAGUGCAGGAGAGGUAAGCGGAAUUCCUAGUGUAGCGGUGAAAUGCGUAGAUAAUAGGAGGAACAUCAGUGGCGAAGGCGACUUUCUGGACUGUAACUGACGCUGAGGCACGAAAGUGUGGGGAGCAAACAGGAUUAGAUACCCUAGUACG
rnacentral:rRNA from 1 species